AGAGUUUGAUCAUGGCUCAGAGCGAACGCUGGCGGCGUGCUUAACACAUGCAAGUCGAACGGGUGUAGCAAUACAUCCGUGGCGAACGGGUGCGUAACACGUGGAUAACCUUCCUUCAGGUGGGGAAUAACCCAGUGAAAAUUGGGCUAAUACCGCAUAACAAGACGAGGGCACAUGCUCCUGUCUUCAAAGGCGCAAGUCGCCAGAAGAGGGAUCCGCGGCCGAUUAGCUAGUUGGCGAGGUAACGGCUCACCAAGGCAAUGAUCGGUAGCCGGACUGAGAGGUUGGCCGGCCACACUGGAACUGAGACACGGUCCAGACUCCUACGGGGGGCAGCAGUGGGGAAUCUUGCACAAUGGGCGAAAGCCUGAUGCAGCAACGCCGCGUGGGGGAUGAAGCUUCUCGGAGUGUAAACCCCUUUCGACCCGGAAGAAUGCCCGCAAGGGUUUGACGGUACGGGUAUAAGAAGCCCCGGCUAACUACGUGCCAGCAGCCGCGGUAAUACGUAGGGGGCCAGCGUUGCCCGGAAUUACUGGGCGUAAAGGGUCCGUAGGCGGUGUGGCAAGUCGGGAGUGAAAUCUCUGGGCUUAACCCAGAGGCUGCUUCCGAAACUGCCGUGCUAGAGUGUGAGAUAGGCGAGUGGAAUUGCGGGUGUAGCGGUGAAACGCGUAGAUAUCCGCAGGAACAUCCGAGGCGAAAGCGGCUCGCUGGAUCACAACUGACGCUGAGGGACGAAAGCUAGGGGAGCAAACAGGAUUAGAUACCCUGGUAGUCCUAGCCCUAAACCAUCAGACUUGGGGUUUGCCCUGUACGGGGCAAGUCCCGUAGCUAACGCGUUAAGUCCUGCGCCUGGGGGAGUACGGUCGCAAGACUGAAACCCAAAGGAAUUGACCGGGGGCCCCCCCAAGCGGGUGGGAACAUAUGGGUUCAAUUCUACGCAAC
rnacentral:rRNA from 1 species